rnacentral:rRNA from 1 species
GACGAACGCUGGCGGCGUGCUUAACACAUGCAAGUCGAACGGAAAGGCCCUGCUUUUGUGGGGUGCUCGAGUGGCGAACGGGUGAGUAACACGUGAGUAACCUGCCCUUGACUUUGGGAUAACUUCAGGAAACUGGGGCUAAUACCGGAUAGGAGCUCCUGCUGCAUGGUGGGGGUUGGAAAGUUUCGGCGGUUGGGGAUGGACUCGCGGCUUAUCAGCUUGUUGGUGGGGUAGUGGCUUACCAAGGCUUUGACGGGUAGCCGGCCUGAGAGGGUGACCGGCCACAUUGGGACUGAGAUACGGCCCAGACUCCUACGGGGGGCAGCAGUGGGGAAUAUUGCACAAUGGGCGGAAGCCUGAUGCAGCAACGCCGCGUGCGGGAUGACGGCCUUCGGGUUGUAAACCGCUUUCGCCUGUGACGAAGCGUGAGUGACGGUAAUGGGUAAAGAAGCACCGGCUAACUACGUGCCAGCAGCCGCGGUGAUACGUAGGGUGCGAGCGUUGUCCGGAUUUAUUGGGCGUAAAGGGCUCGUAGGUGGUUGAUCGCGUCGGAAGUGUAAUCUUGGGGCUUAACCCUGAGCGUGCUUUCGAUACGGGUUGACUUGAGGAAGGUAGGGGAGAAUGGAAUUCCUGGUGGAGCGGUGGAAUGCGCAGAUAUCAGGAGGAACACCAGUGGCGAAGGCGGUUCUCUGGGCCUUUCCUGACGCUGAGGAGCGAAAGCGUGGGGAGCGAACAGGCUUAGAUACCCUGGUAGUCCACGCUGUAAACGGUGGGUACUAGGUGUGGGGUCCAUUCCACGGGUUCCGUGCCGUAGCUAACGCUUUAAGUACCCCGCCUGGGGAGUACGGCCGCAAGGCUAAAACUCAAAGGAAUUGACGGGGCCCCGCACAAGCGGCGGAGCAUGCGGAUUAAUUCGAUGCAACGCGUAGAACCUUACCUGGGUUUGACAUGGAUCGGGAGUGCUCAGAGAUGGGUGUGCCUCUUUUGGGGUCGGUUCACAGGUGGUGCAUGGCUGUCGUCAGCUCGUGUCGUGAGAUGUUGGGUUAAGUCCCGCAACGAGCGCAACCCUUGUUCACUGUUGCCAGCACGUUAUGGUGGGGACUCAGUGGAGACCGCCGGGGUCAACUCGGAGGAAGGUGGGGAUGACAUCAAGUCAUCAUGCCCCUUAUGUCCAGGGCUUCACGCAUGCUACAAUGGCUGGUACAGAGAGUGGCGAGCCUGUGAGGGUGAGCGAAUCUCAGAAAGCCGGUCUCAGUUCGGAUUGGGGUCUGCAACUCGACCUCAUGAAGUCGGAGUCGCUAGUAAUCGCAGAUCAGCAACGCUGCGGUGAAUACGUUCCCGGG